rnacentral:rRNA from 1 species
CGGGUGAGUAACACGUGGAUAACCUACCUAUAAGACUGGGAUAACUUCGGGAAACCGGAGCUAAUACCGGAUAAUAUAUUGAACCGCAUGGUUCAAUAGUGAAAGACGGUUUUGCUGUCACUUAUAGAUGGAUCCGCGCCGCAUUAGCUAGUUGGUAAGGUAACGGCUUACCAAGGCAGCGAUGCGUAGCCGACCUGAGAGGGUGAUCGGCCACACUGGAACUGAGACACGAUCCAGACUCCUACGGGAGGCAGCAGCC